rnacentral:lncRNA from 1 species
GCUCUCCACUUGGCAAAAUAUUAAACAAGAACUGGACCGCACAAGCUGCAGUUGAAUCCCGAGUCAGCAAGGUUCCAUUCUAUUUAAAGGGUACCCAAUUCCGGGGACAAAUAAGCACUUUCUUAUGCAAGGAAAUCGCUCUGCACUUUUUUUUUUUUUUUGAGAGGAAGGGAUUAAACCCAGGGCCUUGUGCAUGCUAGACAAGAACUCUACCACUGAGCUGUAUCUCAGCCCCUACACUUAUGUUUUGUUUUGUUUGAGACAGAGCCUCACUUUGUAGUUCAGGUUGGCCUUGAACUCACUAUGCAGUCCAGACUGGUCUCAAACUCAUGUUGAUCCUACUGCUUCAGCCUCCCAAGUACUGGGAUUACAGGAGUGUCCCCCAUGCCUGGCUCCCACACUUAUUUUAAAAAAGGCAUUCUAGGCUGGGCGUGGUGGUACACACCUAUGAUUCCAGCACUCCGAGACUGAAGCAGGAGGGUCACUGUGAGUUCAAGGCCAGGCUGAACUACAUAGGGUGACCCUGUCUCAAACAAACAAAAAGCCAACAAAUAAAAGAGAAGAAAGUAGUGCGGCUGUGCCAGUGUGUGUUUCUGAGAAACACCCAGUUUCUCCUCUCCCUCUGGUUAUCAGCCAAGCCCCACCCCCAGGCUCCGCCUGUUCUAACCCACGUGGACCCCAUUCCCCACCUUUCAAUCCUAACCUCUUUUUCCUCUUCCUCUUCUUGCCUUGUGGCUGGCCACUCUGCAGCCCCUUCUGUGAGUUCUCCCUCACGAAGGCCAGGGUGAUGAUUUCUUUCAGAUCUUCCAUGGCGCCGUCCUCCCUGUCUUCGGAGGCAGCCCCUUCCUCACCUUGCAACGUCAGGCACUGGAGAAUUUUCCUGGCCUGGGCCGAGCCUCUGGGGCAAUCCCAGCCCUCCCUGGAGAGAGGGCGGAGGAAGCCGCAGUUACGGGGAUCCACCUGCAGGGGGACCCCCUCCCUUGCUCAGGGAGCGGUGAACCCGGGUUCCAGUCCUGGUGACAGGCGGCCGUUUGGUACAUGCUCCCCGCCCCCCGCCUCCGCCGUUGGUGCAAUAUCGGUUGGGAGUGGUUGCACCUUGUGCCACUGAGUGUGGCCUUGGGGACUUUCUCAGCCAAGCCUGUUCUGGGUUUUGGCCUCCUGGGGUUUUCUGUAGCAGGCUGAGAUGCUAUGCAUGGCGCUGGCUGGUAAACAAUCUUCUUAUUAACGCGGGUGGGUGUCUGGGGACAGCUCAGAGCAAGCCGGAGCCUCAGGCCUGCCGGGCAGAGGGAGAUGGUCCCAGCAAGCGCAGCCAGCCUGCAAUCUGCGACUGAGCUACAUCUGAGCAACCAGAGGGAUCAGAAGAAGAAGAAGAAGAAGAAGAAGAAGAAGAAGAAGAGGGCUGCCACUAAACUCAAGCCCUCUAAGAUGAUGCCAACGCACAAGGAUAGAGCUGUACUCAGAACACGGACAGAUCAGGCGGGGUCACGGUGAACCAGUCUUCCAGAAGGCACAGGCCUGUUCUUGGCAACCUCUGAGAGAACAGACCGAGGAACUCAAAGUCCUGACCUUGAGCUGCUCCCUCUGGGGUAAACGGCCCGCUCCACUCCCGGGUCUGAACAACCAAUGGGGCUCCUGGCCAAGCCCUGGGGAGGUGCGGCCGUUUACCCAAAGGUUAAUGUUAACCCGGAGAACUGGCCGCACUUGACCCUUGCAGCUGCGAGUCCUCUGGGACCUUUGAGCCGUCCUUGCCCAGGUGGGGAGAACAGGCCGGGUGCUCAGAUCUCUCUCCCUCAGAGAGAGCAACUGAAAGAGAGGGAAAGCGACAAACUGCUUCCCCAAGCGGCUGAGGCCCCAAGGCCGCUUGCUGCAGUCCUGCAUUCCAGGGCCCUGGGGAUGGCGGCCCAGACACAGGCACGAGUGACAGCAGCAGUCCCUGGGAGGACCAAGUCUGCUUUGUCCCUGGUCUCCUUUCUUCCUCUCUCCCUACCCACUCCUCCCUGUUUAAUGCCCAAGGCCGCAUCCUGCUGGCUUCUCUCCAAAGGCUGCAAAUAUCUCCUUCAAAGGUUUCCUGCAGGGGCCCAGAGCCUGAAUCUCCUGGUAGCUCACAACUCAUAGAAAUGUUCACUUGGCUCUUGGAGGUGCAUUGUUAUUGCUAUAGUUGUUCAAUAGAAGUAGUUGCCAAUAACUAGAAAAUGCAGAUUUCGCAUCAAAAAACCAGAUUUCUUUUCUUUUCUUUUCUUUUUGGAGACACAGUCUCACUCUGUAGCCCAGGCUGACCUCAAACUGGAGGCGAUCCUCCUGCUUCAGCCUCCUGAGUGCUGGGAUUACAGACAUAUGCCACCAAGCCUGGCUGUGCUAUUUUAUUUUUAAGUAUCAGCCUUGGGUCCUUUCUAUACAGUGAAAACAGUCUCAUUCUCUUACAAGACUUGCUCCUACUUCUGACCUACUUGCCAGGCCAUAGAGUCUAUCCAGAAGCAUGUUACAGACACAAUCCCUCGCCCUUGAGAUACCCUUCGAGACAGUCUUUCUGCUUCUACAGAUGAGAAGCUCAGGCAUUGUAGGGCACCCCUGGGCUUGGAGCGGGCCUGGAGAUUGUGGGCCCCUAAGAAUCAGUGAGUCCCACACCACUUUCCUCAACGCCAACCGCUUCGCAGUUCCUACUCCCAACCAGGGGCUUGGAUCGCCUGGACUUCCAUAAACAAGGCCAACUGUACUGUUACCACAUUGCAUUUAUUUUCACUCUUUUUUCUCCUCCCUUUAAUGAAUAUCCAC